rnacentral:lncRNA from 1 species
AUCGAGAUUUUAAAAUAAGUAUGUAGAUCUGUUAGACAACUUUGUUAACUCUUCUUUUCUCAGCAGAGAGCUGUGUGAUCUGAAAGGAAGAAAGUCCAAGAGGCCCUGCAGGUGUGAUGUAACCUGGUUUCUAAUUGCCGAGCAGGAACUGCUCCCAGGCAGAGGGCGAGGAGAUGGCUGUGGGUCCCCAGGUCGAAGGUUGCACUCCAUCUGUCCCUGCUGAGGAAGUGCUCCUCCUGGAAAAUGCCUGGAUGGGAGAAGAAGCAUUUAUCUGUCGCUCUGUUCUGCUAACAACUUGGAUCAGGAAGGCUGGAGAACCAUCAGCAGUUCCCAUGCUCUGAGACCAAGGCCACGUCUGGAGCCGGGGGCUGGGUUAGCUGUGCAAGUGUAGGGAGACCCUCCUGCACCCUCUCUGACCACGGGACCCUCGAGCAGAAGUGCCCCAGGCUUCUUGCCUAUAGACAGGAGCGAUUUGGCAGCGCAGCCAGGCCAGCUGUCCGCCUUUAUUAUCCUCACGCUACCUAUUCAUCCUGCCUGCCCCUUCUUCUUCCCACUUUUCUCUCUCUCGUUGCCUCUCCGUUACUGAGCUACUGCCCUCCAGCAAAAGCAAGCCACAGCGGUGGAGUGUGACAGACCCCGCUGAAGACACAUCGGGCCAGACAGCCGGGCCAAGUCAGCAAAGCCGUCCCCCUGCUCGGCCUCCCCCUGCAAGGCACCCUGCCUGCGCGUGGGAGGAAAUUCCUGAGGUGGCCAGCCACACUGCGUGCCUCGACUGCAUCAGCCUCCCUCCUGCAUUGCUCCCUCCCUGAGUGCUCUGCAAGGACAACCGAGGUGCCCAAAGGCCACAGGUAAGAAGACUGUUGCCACUCCUCUUCCUCUGUGACAUGCACAGGCC